GAUGAACGCUGGCGGCGUGCCUAAUACAUGCAAGUCGAGCGAACGGACGAGAAGCUUGCUUCUCUGAUGUUAGCGGCGGACGGGUGAGUAACACGUGGAUAACCUACCUAUAAGACUGGGAUAACUUCGGGAAACCGGAGCUAAUACCGGAUAAUAUUUUGAACCGCAUGGUUCAAAAGUGAAAGACGGUCUUGCUGUCACUUAUAGAUGGAUCCGCGCUGCAUUAGCUAGUUGGUAAGGUAACGGCUUACCAAGGCAACGAUGCAUAGCCGACCUGAGAGCGUGCUCAGCCACACUGGAACUGAGACACGGUCCAGACUCCUACGGGAGGCAGCAGUAAGGAAUCUUCCGCAAUGGGCGAAAGCCUGACGAAGCAACGCCGCGUGAGUGAUGAAGGUCUUCGGAUCGUAAAACUCUGUUAUUAGGGAAGAACAUAUGUGUAAGUAACUGUGCACAUCUUGACGGUACCUAAUCAGAAAGCCACGGCUAACUACGUG
rnacentral:rRNA from 1 species